AGCAGAUUCGAUCAGUUUCAGCUAGCUGAACAUGCCUCGACUUUUAUUGUUUCCUACUGACUAGAUCUAAACUGAGAAUACUGUAAAGGGUUUUAAACUAUUACACCGUGGUAUAGCAGAUGUCAGAAGACUGAGGUAAAAGCUGUAUGUCUGAGCCAUGUGGAAGAAAGUUGCUGUAUUAACAUGUUUUCACGCCCACGGUUUCAAAUGCUGCUGUUUUUGUCAGAGCCACUGCAUAUCAAAGAUUUCAUAGACAGGCUGCUGCAAUAUUGGACUGAAUGGAGCAAGGUAGAGAGGAGUGAGUGAUGACAGAGCUAUUUAACUUUUGGAAAAUAUUGUGGUUUUGGUUCAAAUGUCUUCUCACAACACCAUGAAUGUUAAAAAUCUCAUCCUCAACAUUGUGCACAUGUGGCAAGUUGGGAUACUAGUCUCACCACUGCUGGAACAGGUGUGUCAAGCCACCAGCUCAUUGCAUGUUACUCAUAGACGCCAAAGAGAUUAGAAAAACGAUUUGACAUCCUGGGAUUGAGAAUGAGUUUGUAGUGUCUGACUGCCGAGCUAACACCGAUGCUGAUAUGCUACGAUGUUUUAACUUCUUACAUUACAAGUGAAAGGCUUUUGAUGAGGACAAACCUGUGUUUGACACAGGUAACAGUAUCCCAGGUAGCAUCAAAUGGUUUCCUUGCACUUUUACUGUUAUUAGCUAUUACAUAACCUUCCAACCUGUCAUAGUAUUAUUUAUCUGCUCAUGCAGUUGUUAGGAGUGUUGAGAAAAAGUGUUUAGCAGUCAGUAACCGCAGAUACGCAUCAGUUUGACUGUUUCUUCCUUUAGAGUGUGACUUUUUUGUGCUCUUCUGUUGCUGCUUCAGAAAGGAGUGACAGGUGAUAUGGGCCCCAGAGGACCCGAUGGAAAGAAGGGUGACAUGGGCCACAUGGGUGUCAUUGGUCCCAGGGGAUUUCCGGGACAGGAUGGGUCGCCAGGCCACCCAGGCCAACCGGGCCAACCGGGAUAUCCUGGCAAACCUGGUAAGCCUCCCUCAGACGAACAUCUUGUAAAGCUCUGCACUGAUGUUCUGCGUAACCAGCUGCCAGCAUUGCUGCAGAGCCUGACUCCUCACUCUAGGUGUGAACCCUGCCAGGGUGUGAAGGGUCCUCCAGGUGAGCCAGGAGCACCGGGACCCAAAGGCUCCAUGGGAACUCCAGGCUACCCUGGCAGAAAUGGGGCUCCUGGUUACCCAGGACCUCCUGGAAUACAGGGCCCCGCAGGCCUCAAAGGUUUGAUAUGACACAGUUUCUUAAGGUACCUUCAGACAGGUUUAUGUUAUCUGUACACAAAGCUUCCUCUCACCAAUGUUAUAUCUGCUCCAUUGUGACAAAAAGCUCCAUUCUGGCUCCUCACUCUGAUGAAAACAAGGCAAUAAGUAACAACACACCAUCACAAAGAAGCGAUGGGACAAAAUUUACGACCGCUUUCAUCAACAGUUAAAAUCAAAACAGUGUCAAUGAUGAACAAAUUGGAUGUGUUGAUGUUCACUGUACCCCAUAAAACAAGAUCAUUAAACAAGCGAACAUCAGUGAAAGUCAGCAGAGCAAAAGACAACAAAUGCUCCACACCCAUCUCAGUGAGCUGUCUGUGAUUUAUCACCACUUCAACACAGAGAGUGGCUAAUCAGCUGUGGAAGAUACCACUCCACUGCUGUGUAGCAUUUUAACUUGUUAGGCCAGCCAUGCAGCGACUGUGGAGGAGUCAGAGUUGGGUGAGAACAUUACGGUGCCCUGGAUGUGCACAUAUCCAGUGUACAGGUAAUUGUACAACUGUCAGUAAUAGUUUAAUUCAUUUUAAGUUUAUUUAUGUAUCACCCAUUCACAAUUUAGUCAUCCAAAGGCACUUUGUAGUUGGAUGAAACUUUUUCUGUGGUUCAGUGCUGCAUAAUCAGGGUCAGCCAGGUUUUUUGCACAGUCAGUUUAUGUAUGUGGACACUUUGCUGUAUAGUUCCUCUGACAGGGAGGUGUGAUAUUGCAUACUUCUGAGGCAAAGCUACAGUGUGUUUAUUCUGCUAGUUUGUUGCAUGCUUGUCACACUUCAGAUCAUCAAAUACAUUUUAAUAUUAGACAAAAAUACCUCGAGUAAAUCAAACUAACCUAACGGAAGUAUGACAAAUUGGUACAAACCAUACUGAGUGGAGACGGCCUUUUUCUUCCUGGACUCUGUAAACAAGGGAAUCUGCCAGGAGCCCUUGGUUAAGUGCAGUGUGAUAAAAAAGCGAGCUAUGCCUAACUGAUCCAGGAACUCGUUGACCCGGGGUAUGGGAUGAGCAUCAGACUGUGACACCUUGUUCACCUUGCCGUAGUCAAUACAGAAUCCUAUAGACCACAAGAACUAUGGAGCCACACCGUGCACUGUCUGACUCUUCUAUUACCCAUUUUUAGCAUUUCAGCCCUAUGAGUAAUUUGUAUUUUGUGCUCAGGUAACCGAUAGGGCCGUGAACGUACUGUCACGCCAAGGCUCUCUGGGCCUGUGUGAAAUGUCAUUGCAGACAGGGAAUGGUGGAGUUUGGAAAAUCCACGUCCCAGUUCAUCUCGCUCCUUAAGAGAAACAGUUUGAGCCUCUCUCCAUGCUUUGAGGAGGUUGCUAUAUCUGUGUGGCUCCUCCCCUGACCAACUGUACCACCUCAUAUUUAAUGUCACCCACUCGCCGUGUGACCACAAAUGGUCCUUGCCACUUGACCCCACUUUUCAUUAUUUAUUUGUAAUAAAUGUUUGGAAUCAUGUAUGAUUUUCGUUCCACUUCUCACGUGUACACCACUUUGUAUUGGUCUUUCACCUGGAAUUCCAAUAACAUUGAUUCGUGUUUGUGGCUGUAAUGUGACAAAAUGUGGAAAAGUUCAAGGGGGCCGAAUACUUUUGCACGCCACUGUAACUUUGAGCUGGAAGAAAAGAGUAAUACAAGCACUUUGUCUCCCGGUAAAGAUUGCCUGAAUACAGUCCCCUCUGUUGUACAGGUCCUGCUGACGUUCCUGGGCCUGGGACAAAUUCUCUUGUGACAAACGUGUGUAGUUUUGCUUUCAGGUCCAGAAUAUAUUGCGUUUCAUUUUUAGCUGGGCUCGGACCUUCCUCCCUGUUUUCUUUAAUUAGGUCCAUGUGGUGGGGCGUGGUCUGCGGUGCCACUGCAGGGGAGGCGGAUGCACCUGAGUGGCAUGAAAAGUCUGUACCGAAUCCUGGUUAGUGCUGUUGUUGCUGUUGGUGAUGUGUUCAGCUGGUGCCUGAAAAGCUGCAGCUGCACCUGUGUUUGUGAACAGGAACCGUGUGUGUCAAUAAAAGAGAUGCUGAAAAGCAUAGAAACAUCAUCAGGUCUGCCAUGGAUAUGUUACAGUCCAACAUCCCCCACAGCUUUCUGCUGAACAGUAACAUAAAGGGAGAAAAUCCUGUGGAGGCCUGGGAACCUCCCACACUGCGAACAACAGAGGGUCUAACCAACUAUCUCAGUCACAUUCAUCCUCAUAAAUGGACUGAAGAAUCAUGGAUUUCAAAGUCUUAUUUAGCCACUCCACCAACUCAUCAUUCUGAGGGUGGCAGAUGCUGAACAGGUUCAAUCCCCAGAUUUAUGCAGUUCCUUUAUUGUGCGAAACAUGAAUGGUGUACCCUGGUCAGUCAGUAUCUCUUCUGGGAUGACGACUCGGGAGAUGAUCUGAAACAGCAUCUGUGCCACACAGCGCAGAAAUGGUCCGUGCCAGCACUGCUUCAGGAUAUUGCACUGCAUAAUCCACCAGAAGUAAUAGAAAGUGAUAUCCACGGCCACUGUGGGGAAAUGCACUCAAACGGGACCUCCAUUAAUGAUAGUGGGCGCACAGAGGUGAGACCGCGCCAGUAGGAAAUCUCCCGCGGAGUGAAUUACUAGUGCCGGCAGGGCCUACUCGUGACUUCUACCUAGAGUCAGCAUCGGUCGAUCCCGCAUCCCCGCUGAGUGCAGCGCAGACGCUACAUGCCACUAAAGGUCAUGAAGGCAUCCCCACACAUACCGCAACAAGUUAUCAAACCCCAGCAAA
ensembl:lncRNA